UGGAUGAGAUCACGAAGAAGCCAAAGAAGGUUCCCAGAGGAGAUAUUACUGGAAUUAGCGUGUUGAAAGCCCAGGUUAAUUACAAUUAUGGAGAUUUGAAGUCUGCAAC